GAUGAACGCUGGCGGCGUGCCUAAUACAUGCGAGUCGAGCGAACGGACGAGAAGCUUGCUUUUCUGAUGUUAGCGGCGGACGGGUGAGUAACACGUGGAUAACCUACCUAUAAGACUGGGAUAACUUCGGGAAACCGGAGCUAAUACCGGAUAAUAUUUUGAACCGCAUGGUUCAAAAGUGAAAGACGGUCUUGCUGUCACUUAUAGAUGGAUCCGCGCUGCAUUAGCUAGUUGGUAAGGUAACGUCUUACCAAGGCAACGAUGCAUAGCCGACCUGAGAGGGUGAUCGGCCACACUGGAACUGAGACACGGUCCAGACUCCUACGGGAGGCAGCAGUAGGGAAUCUUCCGCAAUGGGCGAAAGCCUGACGGAGCAACGCCGCGUGAGUGAUGAAGGUCUUCGGAUCGUAAAACUCUGUUAUUAGGGAAGAACAUAUGUGUAAGUAACUGUGCACAUCUUGACGGUACCUAAUCAGAAAGCCACGGCUAACUACGUG
rnacentral:rRNA from 1 species